rnacentral:rRNA from 1 species
UACGUAGGGUGCAAGCGUUGUCCGGAAUUAUUGGGCGUAAAGAGCUCGUAGGCGGUCUGUUGCGUCGGCUGUGAAAACCCGGGGCUCAACCCCGGGCCUGCAGCCGAUACGGGCAGACUAGAGUUCGGCAGGGGAGACUGGAAUUCCUGGUGUAGCGGUGAAAUGCGCAGAUAUCGGGAGGAACACCAGUGGCGAAGGCGGCUACCUGGACCGGUUCUGACGCUGAUGCGCGAAAGCGUGGGUAGCAAACAGG